GGAGUGGUGGCUGAGCGGUCUAAAGCGUUGGAUUUGAAAUCUAAAGUGCGUUGCACCGGGGGUUCGAAUCCCUCCCAUUUCA
rnacentral:tRNA from 1 species